rnacentral:sRNA from 1 species
ACAGGUGAACAGAGAGAUGAUGGAGAUA